rnacentral:rRNA from 1 species
GAGUUUGAUCCUGGCUCAGGACGAACGCUGGCGGCGCGCCUAACACAUGCAAGUCGAACGAGCGAGAGAGAGCUUGCUUUCUCGAGCGAGUGGCGAACGGGUGAGUAACGCGUGAGGAACCUGCCUCAAAGAGGGGGACAACAGUUGGAAACGACUGCUAAUACCGCAUAAGCCCACGGGUCGGCAUCGACCAGAGGGAAAAGGAGCAAUCCGCUUUGAGAUGGCCUCGCGUCCGAUUAGCUAGUUGGUGAGGUAACGGCCCACCAAGGCAACGAUCCAUAGCCGGACUGAGAGGGUGACCGGCCACAUUGGGACUGAGACACGGCCCAGACUCCUACGGGAGGCAGCAGUGGGGAAUAUUGCACAAUGGGCGAAAGCCUGAUGCAGCGACGCCGCGUGAGCGAAGAAGUAUUUCGGUAUGUAAAGCUCUAUCAGCAGGGAAGACAGUGACGGUACCUGACUAAGAAGCUCCGGCUAAAUACGUGCCAGCCGCCGCGGUAAUAC